GCACUAAGUCACUUUGUCUUUAUGGCAAAUGUGAGAUGCAGUGUAUGGAAUGUCAAAUUUCUAGUAUGAGAAAUUAACGAUUUAAGUCCUUCUUAAAUGAGGCCAUUUACCCAUAGAGGGUGCCAGGCCCGUAUAACGUUAAUGAUUACUAGAUGGCAUUUCCAAAGAGUCGUGUUGCUUGAUAGUGCAGCACUAAGUUGGUGGUAAACUCCAUCUAAAACUAAAUAUAACCAUGAGACCGAUAGUAAACAAGUACCGUGAGGGAAAGUUGAAAAGAACUCUGAAUAGAGAGUUAAAUAGUACGUGAAACUGCUUAGAGGUUAAGCCCGAUGAACCUGAAUAUCCAUUAUAGAAAAUUCAUCAUUAUGAUUUUAAUAUUAAUAAUAUUAUAAUAAUGGUGUGCAUUUUUUCUAUAACGGACAUUGUAAUCUAUUAACAUAAAAUAUAUUUAUCAUAAGAUCAAUGAUGCGUAAGUUUAUUCAAAUUAUUUUGCUUGCAAUUUAACAUAGAAUAAAUGCUCUUGAUUUGAUAAAGUGUUGAUAGAUUUAUUAUAUAUAGUGCUUAAAUAUUUAUAUUUUAUAAUAGCAUAUUAAUCAUUGAUUUUUAUGUUUAUUAUAUGCACUUAUAUGAUUAACAAUGCGAAAGAUUCAGGAUACCUUCGGGACCCGUCUUGAAACACGGACCAAGGAGUCUAACAUAUUUGCAAGUUAUUGGGUAUCAAAACCUAAUAGCGAAAUUAACAUAACUUAAUGGGAUUAGUUUUUAGAUUAUUUAUAGUCUAUUAAUUCAAUCCCGGGGCGUUCUAUAUAGUUAUGUAUAAUAAUAUUUAUAUUAUUUAUACCUCUAACUAGAGCGUACCUUGAGCAUAUAUGCUGUGACCCGAAAGAUGGUGAACUAUACUUGAUCAGGUUGAAGUCAGGGGAAACCCUGAUGGAAGACCGAAACAGUUCUGACGUGCAAAUCGAUGUCAGAA
rnacentral:rRNA from 1 species